UUCCCCGGGUUAACCAAUGAUUUUUGUUUUUAUUGCAUAAUUUAAUUGUCCUUUUAGUCAUGGAGUGAAAAAACCAGAAAUUGCACAAAAAUUCCAGCAAAACUACAAAAUAUAACACGAUUUCAAAUUAUACCACCUAUCCACUUUUGAUUCCGUCAAGAUGAGUUGCAACUGCAGCGGCGGUGGUUGCUGCGGCGGUAACGACAACAAACGCACGAAACACGAAAGCAAACGAAAAGCACAGCACCAUAGAACGCAACUACCCAAAAAAGAACCGAUCGCUACAUGGGAUCUUCCCUGCAGAGCAGAUCUUCCUUGUGGGACAGACUGCUUCGUACAAGCAGCUGCUAACCCAUGGGGUGCUAAAAAGCCCAAGUGCGUAUUGGAACCAUCAAAACUUGCAAGGCGGGGCUAGAUACAGGGUCAGCGAACGCAACUAUUAUAGCCGUAGGAACAAAAUCUGAUGCCAGCACUUAUCACAUAUUCUUGUCCAUCAAGUCAUUUAGCAAGCACUGAAGUGCUGGACUUACUCGUUAUAUAAUAAUUUGUUAUAGUGUUAGUUUACAACAAAAAAUGCUGAAAUCCAAUGUAGUAACAAAUAAAUGGUACAAUCAAC